rnacentral:rRNA from 1 species
UACGGGGGGGGGUAAGCGUUGUUCGGAAUUACUGGGCGUAAAGGGCUCGUAGGCGGCCAACUAAGUCGGACGUGAAAUCCCUCAGCUUAACUGGGGAACUGCGUCCGAUACUGGAUGGCUUGGAUUUGGGAGAGGGAUGUGGAAUUCCAGGUGUAGCGGUGAAAUGCGUAGAUAUCUGGAGGAACACCGGUGGCGAAGGCGGCAUCCUGGACCAUUACUGACGCUGAUCCGCGAAAGCUAGGGGAGCAAACGGG